AAAGAUGCUACACGCAUGCUGAAAUAGCAAGAGCGAGAGUUCAUGUUGAACGUACAAUUCAAAGAUUGAAAAAUUUUCGUAUCCUACAAAAUACCUUAUCCAUAAGUAUUGUAACGCUGCUGCGAAAUAAAAUUACUAUCUGAUUAGGAGAAUACAAAUUCACUACUAAACUUGGAUUUAUACUCAGUAGCCGGCUAACAUUCAACGUGAGGGACGUAAAGUUCGGUAUUCUGCCAGGAAAACUUGCUACUACAAAACUCAAAUCUUAAGGGCGCCAGAUCUAGCGAGGUAAUAAAUCCUCUUGAUCAAGGAGGAUAGGCUCUUCCAAGCAUAGCAUAAUGAAGGUGUAAAAAAACUAGGUAUUGUGGCAGAGAGGAAUUUAAUACGUCUGUAUUUCGAUUUAAAAUUAAAUAUGAUUACCUAGUAUGUAACUACAAAUUAUAAUUGUGGUGUGAAGCACGGUAACAAUAAUAAAGGAAAAAAACUAAUAGGAUUAAUUCGUCCACACCGCAAAAAUCAACAGUGUCAACAAUAUCUUACUACGGUAAUUAAUACGGGUUCUGGAUUCGCUAGCUAGCCCCCGCACCCUGUUUAUAUUUGGGCCAAAUAGAGGUUAGUACAGAUAGACCUCCCAACUGAGAACAAAACGAAUUUUCCUUCACAGGUAAGUAUUAUCAUGAAUGUAAUUAUUUGUAAUUAAAUGGUAAGAAUUAACUCUUUUGAUUUCAGUUUACAUAACCCUUGAAGAGGGUUCAUCAACUCAAAGCCACAAAAAUUAACAAACGCAGAUGCAGCAAGGUAAGGUACCAGUAAGUGCCAGAUUUUAGGCAGCGGAACAAAAAAAGCUGAAAGUUAUGAGAUACUCUAUAUCUAGCUUAAGAGAUACCUAAUUCUUACCUAGAUGUUAUAGCUUGCAACUCGUCCGCAAUGUUCUAAACUACAAAUUACAAAGUUUUAAUACUACA